rnacentral:lncRNA from 1 species
AUGUUCAUACAUCACUCUGAAGGUUCAAGAUGUGUGGCUAUUUGCAGUUUUGCUAAGGAGAAGUCUGGAAUGUUUGUACUGUCAGUCUGGUGUGGAGAAAAAGACCGCUUAACCCCACCUUCCAGCACCUGCAUUUCAUUCAGCUUUGUGGUUUCAACUGACUGUCAUGUGAAUGAUAAUAUGUGGCAACAGUUUCAGGUUGCCUUCAUUUGUCACUGUGGUGAAUAUUUGUAACUUUGUCUUCUAAGGUAAGUCUACAUACCCAUACUUACUGAUGCACAGUAGCCAGGAUUAUCUGCUUUCUCCCAGAAACCUUAAGAUUAUGUUUACAUUUCAGAUAAGGCCAACUCAAGAGGCAGACAUCACACCAGUCAUUUAACAAGGAAAAUGUAAUAUAAAGAGUAAAG